CACUGCUAGAGAGAGCGAUUCUAGGGUUGGCGAGCUCCGGGUCUUCGUGGAGGCCCUGCGUGCAAGAAGGACCCGUCCUCCCUCCCUCCUCUCCGACCCCAACCUCGCCUUCUUCAGGGACUACCUCUAGAGCCAAGGUGGAGCCUAAUGCCCACAACAUUGUGGAAGUAUGACAGGCUGCGGAAAGAGACAUCUUGCAUCAAUCAUUUGUACUGGCUCUGCCAUCGGAGACAGAGUCUGCUAGUCCCUGUCCUGCGAAGUCAACAGAGGAAAGGAGAUUUUGAUUUGUGCUCAUUGACGGUGAGGUCUACUCGGUGCUGGCUAAGGCAGGAGAGGCGAGGCGUUUUCAAUCUCUUCAGGCGAAAGACUCACCAAUUGGAUCAUUCAUCAUAGCAUAACUAGAUUCAUUUGGUGCACAAUGAAUCUUAAGUUCUUAACUCUACUCUUUUGACUGUUUUUGGGUUACUUUUGCUUCCAACAAAGGGUGCCACUGUGUUACUCACAAAUAUUUUGGGGUUUUCCAUUUGAAAUUGUAACCUCCUAGCCAGGAUAUCAAGUGUCAAGAUCAAAGGGAGGGGAGGGAGGAGGUUGGGGGCACACCUUGACGACUGCAGAUUAAGGUUUAUCUUAGGCCGUUAUAUUGGUUUUGGGGAGAAGGUAUCAGCUGGAACACUUAGAAGGCAAUCAUGUUUGAAUUCCUUUCACGAACCAGGAUUGUUUGCAACAGCAAGGUCUAUCCCUGCGGCAUAGCCGGAUAUGUCUGGUGCCUCUUGCGUGCUGGUUCAUUCGCCCCUCCAUCUUCCAUCUGAAGAGUUUGUCCAUCGCCUGUCGGCCUUUUCUCCUGCGCUGAAUCUGGGGCUGUUAUAUGUGCUGCUGUUAUAUACUCAGGCAACUUUGAGUUUUUUUUUUGUGAGCCGCAGCUGCCUUUUAUGAUUUGAAGCAAAGGUGGGCUUCAGGAUUGUGUGCAAUUGUGUGCUCUAAAUCAUCCAAUAAGAUUGUGUUAAUUUAGCCUACCAAUACAUGGUAGACCUAAAUUUUGAAUGCAGGCAGCUUGUAAGAGGAGAUUACUGUCAAGCUGUAUCUUAUGCUUUUCAAGGGAAGGCGGGGGAGAAGAACAAGGGGUAGAACAUACCUUGAUGAUCCAAGGGUGCCUCGGAGGGGUGAUAUUCUGAUUUAUGCUAGAGACCUAGAUGCCGAAUGCUCAAUCCAGUUUCGUGUCGACACGGAUGGUCGAUUGGCUACAGUAGGCUUAGCUGGGUGGAAAGAAUAUGUUGACAAAGUUUCUCUAAAGAAAACCAAGUGAUAUUUGUCCUUAUCUUCAAGGAACUAGCUCGUCUAGUAGUCUGCGUCAAGGGGAUCUGAAUGAUCUUUUGCCGGUUGGAGUUUCUGUCAUUUUGUUCAUAUGGCUACCCACUGGUUAUGGUCAUACUUAUGUUGUUGCUAUAGUAAAACUUAGUAGCCUAAAUAGACUGAACGUGCAAGCUCGUUUUGGUCCUGUUACCUAACGUUGAAUGGUGUGUUUUGUAUGUUGGUUCCAUCGUGUACAUGGAUGUUGCUCUCUGAUCUCUUUUGAAACUUACUACUGUAGAUGCAGUCAGCAUCUAAAGCUUUGUCUAUGUGUACAUUUUCAUUGAUAAAUGAUGUUCUUUGCGAGCC